GACGAACGCUGGCGGCGUGCCUAAUACAUGCAAGUCGAGCGAGACUCUUCGGAGUCUAGCGGCGGACGGGUGAGUAACACGUGGGCAACCUGCCUGUAAGACUGGGAUAACACCGGGAAACCGGUGCUAAUACCGGAUAAUCCUUUUCUUCUCAUGAGGAAAAGCUGAAAGUCGGUUUCGGCUGACACUUACAGAUGGGCCCGCGGCGCAUUAGCUAGUUGGUUAGGUAACGGCUCACCAAGGCGACGAAGCGUAGCCGACCUGAGAGGGUGAUCGGCCACACUGGGACUGAGACACGGCCCAGACUCCUACGGGAGGCAGCAGUAGGGAAUCUUCCACAAUGGACGAAAGUCUGAUGGAGCAACGCCGCGUGAGCGAUGAAGGCCUUCGGGUCGUAAAGCUCUGUUGUUAGGGAAGAACAAGUACCGGAGUAACUGCCGGUACCUUGACGGUACCUAACCAGAAAGCCACGGCUAACUACGUGCCAGCAGCCGCCGUAACAC
rnacentral:rRNA from 1 species